UUGCAUUUCUUGCGAGUUUCGUGAGCCAGCGAAAAAAUACUAGCACUACACGAUAAUCAAACAAGUGAAAUGCGAAAGCGUGGGCGGCGCGGAGCCGAGCGAAAAUGAAAGCUUUCGACCGCCUGCUUCAUUGUAAGGUAAUUUCAAUAAGUUAUCUUUUCUAAAAAUGAAAUAGAACUGGACAAGUAGCAUUUUAUUUUGCCUUAUAAUACAAUACAAGGAUGUUUUUUGCUAUGAGUUGUGGAGUACUAGUGACAGAAUUUUACUGAGGAGUGCUUCCGUCAUCGGGCAAGUACUUGAAUGUCCCAGAGCAGUCUCUAAUGACGUAAGUACAGUCGCCAACUGAUUUUUCGGACUCCGAAAAUUUGGGCAUGCUCGAUUAUUCGGUCUCCUUCACCGCACCGCCAUUUUCCCCCUAGACCAUAAUGUAUAACAACUGCCGAAAGUUCAGACACCUUGCAACCUCUUGUCAAAUUUUUCGGACACUCCUUGAGCCAACUCGAUCGAGAGCACCAUGCACCGCCUCUGACCGGUGCAAUGUUCGACUUGCUGAAUGCCAUUUUUGUUUUGAACGGAGCCUCCUUGCCGCCCCACGAAGUGGUGCUGCUGCAAAUCCCCGCUCAUCAUCAUUGUUUCGGCCUGGUUCGUAGCUACAGCAGUUACGGUCUCAGCUUAGUAAGCCAUAUCAAGACAAUCAGGCAGCUGAUUUGUUUUUAUUGUGCACGACACCAGGCCCCGUACACUCUCAAGUUCAACAAAUGGCCACAGCGGGCGAAAAAAUUGACCGCGCGGCGUUGCUAAAGAAACAGGCAUAGUAUGCCAAUUAAAAAGGUUCCCCGUUGAGCGCAUUAUCUCCCGCUAGAGGCGCCAUAGUAAGCGCAAUUUUAACCUACAAUCUUUCUUGAACAAUAACCGAAGCGUUUUUAUUACAUGACAAAGAGUACAAAAUUAUCAUUCCUAAUUUAUAUUGUACUCUUUAUUACCAACUUUGUUGCUAUUUGCAAUUUUAAACGCAAAAAAACACUCAGCAUCAUCGACCUCCCACGUGACCUCUGGCCUGGAUUUACAAUUUUUACCGGUAUGUUCGCGUUCACGGCAGGUACGGAUUCUUCGGUUCGUACAUCGGUUGGUUAUGUUGUGCUAAAACCAGUUUAUUGUGCUUUGAAGUCUGCCGUUAUUUAACUUGAGGUGUAAGCCCGAAAGCUAUAUUUCAGUCGUGAGCCAUGUGGAACACGUCUGCAUCGAAAUGGGAGCCGGAUCCUGCUGCGACUGGGGACAGCAAUACCGACAUGCAGUAAUGAGGACGGCACCAGUUUAAAGCGACACACUCCAUGCACUAAACAGAUGCUGCUGCCUGCCACAACAAGGUCAUUGUGUGGACUUUGGCUGCUACUACAAGAGUCUGUGCCAAGUACACCUUGGUCAUCACGGGAGCCCCCAUCUACACCAACUGGAAGGGGCUGGAGCCGAAUUCGCAAGACCACGAACAAAGAAGCCAUUCCAGAAUUAUUUGGAUGAGAUAUUAAGUCUACGGACGACUGUUUCAAGAGUGAAAAGAGCCUCCGCCAUCAUUCCACCAGCCCGGAUAUUGGCCGAGUCAUCCAGGUACCUCAACAACAAAA